rnacentral:lncRNA from 1 species
CCCGAAAGAGUUUUGACUACAGGCGAACACUACAAUAUUAUACACAUAUGCACAAUGCAAACAUUAUCAAACAUUAUCAAACAUAAAAACAUCAUUUUUUGUAAGUAUUAUUUCACAUUUUUGUCAUGUCAGGGCUUUAUACUGCUGCUUAUAACAUAUGGGAUUUGCUUAUUGUUGCUGGCCUCUGCUGGAUAGAUGUCACAUUGACAAUCAAAGCACACCUUUUUAUUUUACACACAAACUUGACUGUCAUGAACUAUAAUUAUUAAAUAUGUUUCCGGCUUUCUUGACAUACAUGUACAUUGUGACUUUGUUGUCGUACUUACUUUAUAAGAUAAAACUAUAUCAGUUAUAUAAGAAAAGUAAUGCAGUCAUAAAUGUUUCAUAUUCAAAACACAUUGAUAUUAUAUUCGAAAAAUAUCGCAUUCAUAAAUUAUUAUAAAAUAUAGCAGUAUCAUUGAAUUAUUGGUGAUUUUCUUUAGAAAACAAGUGUAUAAUGAAAAUUGUAUUCCAUUAAUUUGCUACGUGAUAUUAAUUGCAUGUGAACAUCUACAAAUGAUAAAUCGUGCAUUUUUCUUUCUUUAAAUCAACAUAUCGGUUUUGUCGUAAUACAACAACAUACUAAUACUUGCUACUAUAUUACACAAUUUAUGAAAGUUAUACAGGCAGACGUUUGUCAUGUUCAAUAUUAACCUGUUUUAAGAAGAAUAGUCUAUAAUAAACCAGAGAUCUUCCCUUCUUCAUGAAAAUAUAAAUAAAUUUGGUGUAUUUACUGUCUUCUGAUUCGUUAAAAGUAUUAAUUUUAUUUUCAAUGUUGUCUAUUUUUAUGGCGACAUGCCCAGUUUUACCGGAACCAAUUUUUUAUUGAUUCGACAAUUCUUUUACUUGAUACAAUGGUGGCAAUUUUUGAUGCAAAAAAUUAUUUAUAAUAAUUGACAAGAAGUUGGUUCACUCACUCAUAAUGCUGGCCCGUAAACUAUAUUCAAAUAUCCAAUUGUUUCAGUUUAAAUAUAUUUACACCAAUUGUGUCAUUAAAGAUAUACUUUUGACGUCAUAAAUGUAUGUGAAUUCCAUUUGAACCUGGGUAUUUUUGGGUCAAUUUUGGCAUCAUUUUUGACAGUUUUCCCAAAAAUAAAAAGUGUCGCCACAUCUCACGCACAAAUAGGCUUGCUAUUCAUAUGAAAUCAUUGAAAAUGGCUAUAAGGAUGACAAAUUUCUGGAAAAUUUAAUAUAAACUAAUAUAAAAUCUAUUCCUAUUUCAGGCUAGUACAUUAAUAAAUAUGAAGCAGUUCUACAAUUACUUUAAAAAA